rnacentral:rRNA from 1 species
AUGAACGCUGGCGGCGUGCCUAAUCCCUGCCAGUCGAGCGAACAGACGAGGAGCUUGCUCCUCUGACGUUAGCGGCGGACGGGUGAGUAACACGUGGAUAACCUACCUAUAAGACUGGGAUAACUUCGGGAAACCGGAGCUAAUACCGGAUAAUAUAUUGAACCGCCUGGUUCAAUAGUGAAAGACGGUUUUGCUGUCACUUAUAGAUGGAUCCGCGCCGCAUUAGCUAGUUGGUAAGGUAACGGCUUACCAAGGCAACGAUGCGUAGCCGACCCGAGAGGGUGAUCGGCCACACUGGAACUGAGACACGGUCCAGACUCCUACGGGAGGCAGCAGUAGGGAAUCUUCCGCAAUGGGCGAAAGCCUGACGGAGCAACGCCGCGUGAGUGAUGAAGGUCUUCGGAUCGUAAAACUCUGUUAUUAGGGAAGAACAAAUGUGUAAGUAACUAUGCACGUCUUGACGGUACCUAAUCAGAAAGCCACGGCUAACUACGUG